UCUUUCUAGAUCCUCUCUCAGAAGGAACCAUCCUUGCCGACACCUUGAUUUCAGCCUCAGAAGACUCAUUGUAGGCAUCUGACUCCCAGAACUACAUAUUGAGCAUCCACCAUCGGCCAGGCAGAUCAAAGAAUGGAUCUGGGAGGGAAGUAGUGAGUGGAUGAAGAGAAACACAAAAAAGCUGAAAAUGCCAGACACAUCCCGAUCUCCCUUGCACCAAGCAGAGCCGUGGCCUGGGCUCAGCCAAUCAGACUCAUCGCUCCUGAGCUGAAUUACAAGCGAAUGAAGUGGAGAAGGAGGGACCCUGCAGGAUCCAUUCUAGCAAGGGCGUUGGCAGCCACAGCAGCCACAACAGUUUCCCCGAGGCGGCAGAUCUGGUGGCUGCAUCUGAAUGGAACAGCAGAGGGCUGGCAUUGUAAACUAUGAGCUGCAGGUCCACAGCAGCAACAGCGGAGUCUGCACAGGGCCGGUUCUGAGCCUGCUUUCCAACAUCAUCCCAGCUGUAUGGCCUCCAAGGCUGGUUUUAGGCUCUCUCAUAUACUCUGUGUGCUAUCCAAUAUCCUACAAUAAAUUCCUUUCUGGUGUAAAUCAGGAAAAAUUAGUUUGUUGCUUGCAAACUAAGCACCCUGGCUGUUAUAUGCACAACUUCUGGAAGGGCACACAGACACAAUCCAUUACUAAAAUGACUAGUCUUAUUGAAAGCUUUCUA
rnacentral:lncRNA from 10 species